CAUAGCACGUUGAAAUACCGGUUCCAGUACGAUUACCGAAGUUAAGCAAGGUCGAGCCUGUUCAGUACUUAGAUGAGUGACCGAUCGGGAAUAUCA